rnacentral:rRNA from 1 species
GAACGAACGCUGGCGGCAUGCUUAACACAUGCAAGUCGAACGCUUCUGUUGGCUUCGGCCUUCAGAAGAGUGGCGCACGGGUGAGUAGCGCGUGGGAACCUGCCCUGUUGUGGGGGAUAACCGAGGGAAACUUCGGCUAAUACCGCAUACGCCGGCUGUCUUGAAAGAGAUGGCCGGGAAAGAUUUAUCGCCGAGGGAUCGGCCCGCGUCUGAUUAGCUUGUUGGUGAGGUAACGGCUCACCAAGGCGACGAUCAGUAGCUGGUCUGAGAGGAUGAUCAGCCACAUUGGGACUGAGACACGGCCCAAACUCCUACGGGAGGCAGCAGUGGGAAUAUUGGACAAUGGGCGCAAGCCUGAUCCAGCCAUGCCGCGUG